GCCUGGUGGGCUCAAUCGGUAGAGCAUGUGACUUUUGAUCUCAUGGUCAUGAGUUUGAGGCCCAUUUUGGGUG
rnacentral:tRNA from 1 species